rnacentral:lncRNA from 1 species
AUGUGGCAUACAGACAUGUGCGGCGCUGGGCACGUGCACAAAUACCCACCACAUUACAGCCAGGAGUCUGCUCAGCUCUUCAGCAAUGGCAAAGCACUGAGUUUACUUGUGUGGUGGUCAAGCUCUCCAGCCAGCAGUAGCAGCCCAACAACAGACAGCAGGAAUGCAGCCAGCAUCUCCCAGGAAGGCAGCAGGAGUUACUGGUGUGAACUGAGAGGAUGUGCGUAGCUACAGCAGUGCCCUAGGUGUUGGGUGAGUUAUUUUUCCUCCUAUUUGCAGCCUCUAGGCAAAGCUAAGACAGAGGCAGGAAAGAAAAUAAAAAUCCCAUCCCCUGGCA